AUAGCUAAUUAUAGCUCCUAUAAUAUAGCAUCUAUAUUAACUAGAAUAUUUGGAAAUAAGUAAAAUAUUCAUGACAUAAACCAUCAGGCCCUUAAAUUUUUUAAUAUUUUGGCAUGUUUUAGGGAAUUUUAACAAUGAGAUCAGUUCCUUGCUGAAACCCAGAAUUUUCAUUUUUAUCAGGUCCCCAAGAGAGGGAAGCUUCUCUUUUCACGCCAUCAUCCACUAGAACACAUGGCGCAUGUGGCAGUGGUCAGGUCUGUGUGGUUCAUCAGCAUUGUGCCUGGCGCCUUGAAUGAGUGAACCUAGACUCCACCUUCAAAUGGGCUGAGCUUUUCUCAGGUCACAGACAAAAUCCCUGUCCUCUGACCAGCAUCUAGCUGACUAGACACCACCCAUCGAGCAUAUGUGUAAUGGGAAGUAAAAAUUUUUUCAUGACUUCAAGAGGUUGCUCUGGGGAUUGAGAAAGGGAAAGAUCUUUAAAAAAAUAAAAAAUCCCAAAACAAUAACCAGUCUCCCUUUUACUUACAGACAUCAGUAUUAGAGAAGCUCCACUGGAGGACAGCCUCAGUGUGGGGGUUCUCCUGGAGCUGGUAAUGGAUGGAGGCCAGAAGAGUCAGCUCUUAACUUGGAGGAUCACCUUCAUCAAUUUUUUCAUGUGAAAAGAUCUCCUGUGAUCUGAGUACGUAUGCAGACACCCACCACCAACAUGCUGAGCAGAGGAGAAACAGCAGGCACUGGGCCAGGCAUUGAGUGGGCAGAAGGAGGACUCCUGAAGCCUCCGAAGGAAGGAAAUCAUUACAGGGCCCUACAGAAGUAGGUCAUGUGCUACAGCUGCUC
rnacentral:lncRNA from 12 species